rnacentral:rRNA from 1 species
GACGAACGCUGGCGGCGUGCCUAAUACAUGCAAGUCGAACGAAGUGGCGAACGGGUGAGUAACGCGUAAUCAACCUGCCCUUCAGAGGGGGACAACAGUUGGAAACGACUGCUAAUACCGCAUACUGAAGGGGGGGAUUGCGUCGGAUUAGCUAGUGGGGGGGGGAACGGCCCACCAAGGCGAUGAUCAGGAGCCGGGCUGAGAGGGUGGACGGCCACAUUGGGACUGGGACACGGCCCAGACUCCUACGGGGUGCAGCAGGGGGGAAUCUUCCGCAAUGGGCGAAAGUCUGACGGAGCAACGCCGCGUGAGUGAUGACGGCCUUCGGGUUGUAAAGCUCUGUUAAUCGGGACGCGGUACCGGAAUAGAAAGCCACGGCUAACUACGUGCCAGCAGCCGCGGUAAUUC